rnacentral:rRNA from 1 species
UGGGGAAUUUUGGACAAUGGGGGAAACCCUGAUCCAGCCAUCCCGCGUGUGCGAUGAAGGCCUUCGGGUUGUAAAGCACUUUUGGCAGGAAAGAAACGUCAUGGGUUAAUACCCCGUGAAACUGACGGUACCUGCAGAAUAAGCACCGGCUAACUACGUGCCAGCAGCCGCGGUAAUACGUAGGGUGCAAGCGUUAAUCGGAAUUACUGGGCGUAAAGCGUGCGCCGGCGGUUCGGAAAGAAAGAUGUGAAAUCCCAGAGCUCAACUUUGGAACUGCAUUUUUAACUACCGGGCUAGAGUGUGUCAGAGGGAGGUGGAAUUCCGCGUGUAGCAGUGAAAUGCGUAGAUAUGCGGAGGAACACCGAUGGCGAAGGCAGCCUCCUGGGAUAACACUGACGCUCAUGCACGAAAGCGUGGGGAGCAAACAGG